GGCAGAUUUGUGGAUGAGAAAUUCAAAUUGAGCUUCAUGUUCAGACCCGAUGGUUACUUGAUCCGUGCCGAUCUGAAUAUCAUUGGCCUUUUCAUGUGGAAGGAAAGAGACAGGGCUCCAGUGGCUUCAUGGGGACUACAACUCCCACAAUCCCUGAGGCAGGGACCACGCGUGUGUACAUGUACAGAAUGUGGGCACGUUUUGGAACAUAUGCUUUGGGGUGCUAGAUGGUGAGGAUUUGCAGACUGAAAUCUCAAACUCAUGUGCAGAUUGUGAUUAAGUUAACCAGCAUUUGAAGAACCAAAGAUGGAGAAUGACUCCGCCAAAAUCCUGCAACACUCUCCCUCGCAGCAUUGUCGGUCUCUCUGCACCAAAUGGACUGUGAAUGGCACAAGACAGCAGCUCACUACCAUCUUCUCAAGGGUAACUAGAGAUGGGGAAUAAAUGCUGGCUGAGCCAGUGAUGCCCAUAUCCUGGAAAUGGUUUCUAUCUCUAGUUGCUGAACCCCAGCUGAUGUUACUGCAGGAUGGUGAGGGAUGCUGAGUGCAUCCUCCAGGAGGCAGCACCAUCACAUUACCCCUGCCUACACCCACACAGUAACACCGCAACGUCACUGGAACAAAAGGCAGUGAAACCAAAGGAGGACUUAGAUAUAGUUCUUUGAGGUAAAGGGGAUUGGAACACAGCAGGAACAGGAGACUGAGCUGGAUGGUCAGCUGUUUCCCAUUGAGUGGUGAAGCAGGAUUGAAAGGCUGAAUGGUCUCCUCCUGCUGCUAUCUCCCAGGUAUGUAUAUAGUCAUGGAGCCCAGGUAGGAAGGAGUGGGCAGGGAUUC